rnacentral:rRNA from 1 species
AUAAUGGGUCAGCGACUUAUAUUCUGUAGCAAGGUUAACCGAAUAGGGGAGCCGAAGGGAAACCGAGUCUUAACUGGGCGUUAAGUUGCAGGGUAUAGACCCGAAACCCGGUGAUCUAGCCAUGGGCAGGUUGAAGGUUGGGUAACACUAACUGGAGGACCGAACCGACUAAUGUUGAAAAAUUAGCGGAUGACUUGUGGCUGGGGGUGAAAGGCCAAUCAAACCGGGAGAUAGCUGGUUCUCCCCGAAAGCUAUUUAGGUAGCGCCUCGUGAAUUCAUCUCCGGGGGUAGAGCACUGUUUCGGCAAGGGGGUCAUCCCGACUUACCAACCCGAUGCAAACUGCGAAUACCGGAGAAUGUUAUCACGGGAGACACACGGCGGGUGCUAACGUCCGUCGUGAAGA